rnacentral:rRNA from 1 species
GACGAACGCUGGCGGCGUGCUUAACACAUGCAAGUCGAACGGAAAGGCCCUGCUUUGGUGGGGUGCUCGAGUGGCGAACGGGUGAGUAACACGUGAGUAACCUGCCCUUGACUUUGGGAUAACUUCGGGAAACUGGGGCUAAUACCGGAUAGGAGCUCCUGCUGCAUGGUGGGGGUGGGAAAGUUUCGGCGGUUGGGGAUGGACUCGCGGCUUAUGAGCUUGUUGGUGGGGUAGUGGCUUACCAAGGCUUUGACGGGUAGCCGGCCUGAGAGGGUGCCCGGCCACAUUGGGACUGAGAUACGGCCCAGACUCCUACGGGAGGCAGCAGUGGGGAAUAUUGCACAAUGGGCGGAAGCCUGAUGCAGCAACGCCGCGUGCGGGAUGACGGCCUUCGGGUUGUAAACCGCUUUCGCCUGUGACGAAGCGUGGGUGACGGUAAUGGGUAAAGAAGCACCGGCUAACUACGUG